GACGUUGAUAUUCGACGUCAUAAACACGAUCAACUUAGAUGCUUAUAACGUCGAUAUUCGACGUCAUCAACACGAUCAACUUUGGUGUUUAUGACGUUGAUAUUCGACGUCAUAAACACGAUCAACUUUGAUGUUUAUGACGUCAAUAUUCGAAGUCAUAAACACGAUCAAUUUUGGUGUUUAUGACGUCGAUAUUCGACGUCAUAAACACGAUCAACUUUGGUGUUUAUGACGUCGAUAGUCGACGUC
rnacentral:miRNA from 1 species